rnacentral:misc_RNA from 1 species
GGCCUACCCACUCAAUAGUUUCCUAAUACAAUCCCCUAAAAUUAAAGAGCCUCCUAGUCGAAUAAGCUGAAUCCCAUGUCGUCAUCGCUCUCUUCCUUUGGCUCCUCCUUCUUUUCCUCGACGGCAGGAGCGGCAGCAGCACUAACGGCAGGAGCAGCUACAGAAACGGGAGCCGCAGCGCCACCUCCACAGCCAACAUUCAGAAGAAGGUCCCCAAUAUUCCUCUUCUCCGCCAAUUUAGCAAAAAGGCUGGGCCAGUAAGAUUCCACACUGAGCCCCGCGGCUGCUACUACGGCUGCAAUCUUUUCCGCAGUGAUUGCGAUUCCGUCAUCGUGAAGAGCCAGGGCGGCGUAGGCGCAGGCGAGUUCACUGGUAGACAUGGCUAGCGUAGGACCAGGUGACAAUUCGGAGCAAAU